rnacentral:pre_miRNA from 14 species
AUCUACCCAGUGAAAGAUUCCCAAAGGGAGACCCUCACUCAAGUCUCGAGAAGUCGUGGACCCCAGACACAGAGAGACCA